AAAAAUAGGAACACUUUUAUUCUAUUGUGUCUAUAGGUCAGACAAACAACACAAUCUUAAGGUGUAACUGGAAUUGGACAGGUGGCGACACUCUUUCCAACUGUUUCACAAUGCUGCUUUUAAAAUGUGAAUCACAGCCAGUCGUAACUCUUUCCUUUAUUCUUAUUUGCAGGUGACGGGGAGAUUCAUUUUAAACUGGAAACUACGUUAUCAAGAGCACUGAAAGGCGUAGUAUGCGUAACCACACGCCUGUCUGCUUUAUUAUCAUCUUUCAGGUGUAGUGCUCGUUGAAAUGCUGUGUAUCCUGUACUGCUGGUUCUUUGUGGGUGUUUUUCUAGUGUGACUUACGCACUGUGGUCCGAUCUCUCAGAGCAGGAGGAACUUAUUUAGCAAUAGGUCACACCUCAGCUCACAUGCAGGACAGAAACCAAGAGAAACAAACAUGUUGAAUUUGCUGGGAGUUGUUGCUGGCCUUCUGUUCAUCAUAAUCUGCUUUUCAAAAGGACUCAAAGAUGGAAAUAAAUCUCAAAAAUCACAACCACUGGAAUCAUCUGCCAACAACAAGAAGAAGAUUCUGGAUGAGGGAGAUUUCCACUUGUUGGCCAAGAUCCUUUCAGUUGGAUUGGUGGAUGCGGAUCCAAACUAUCUCCAGCAUCUUAAAGCCUACAGAGACCUGCACGGUGGAUGAGCUCCUUCAUAUAUAAAAAAGAAAUCAACGCAUUUACAGAAAUCAGCGGACAAAUCUGUUCCUGGAUAUACAGAUGAUUUGUGAUGGCAUCGAAUCGAGGCUCUUCAGCAUUGGAUUACCACAGCUCUAGUUACUCUUGCAACCCCUCCAGAUGUUCCAUGAUUAGUGGAAAAAUAUGCACUUCAUUCAGGUCAAAGAGGAACACUGGUAAUGAAUUAGGUAUGAUCCCCUGCAGAGAAAGGAAUUCAGUGGUGCUUAAUACGGAUGUGAUUGAUGGCAGAUCCUGACUGCUUCAUUUAUUGUUUAAAUGUAUCAUCUGAAAUAUGUGAAUACGUGGGCAUACGUAGCCUCUGAUAUAUUUUAUUCAAGGUGCGCCCGUUUUUAAAUAAGAAAAUCUAUGAAAUGAAAAUAUAGAAACAGAAGAUAGUGGUACUUGAUUUAUUACGCUUGCUUUGUUGUUUAAGUUACAUUAUUCAAGUGUUGUGCGGUGUUAAAUACUCCCACUGUAAUAUCUUAUUUUAACUCAAAACUUGUUGAAACAUCAAAGAUUUUAAGUUACAUGAACUCAAAACAUACUGACUGAUACUGA
rnacentral:lncRNA from 1 species